rnacentral:rRNA from 1 species
UACGGAGGGGGGCUAGCGUUGUUCGGAAUUACUGGGCGUAAAGCGCGCGUAGGCGGACCUGCAAGUCGGGGGUGAAAGCCCGAGGCUCAACCUCGGAACUGCCUUCGAUACUGCGGGUCUCGAGUCCGGGAGAGGUGAGUGGAAUUCCUAGUGUAGAGGUGAAAUUCGUAGAUAUUUAGGAAGAACACCAGUGGCGAAGGCGGCUCACUGGCCCGGUACUGACGCUGAGGCGCGAAAGCGUGGGGAG